GACGAACGCUGGCGGCGUGCUUAACACAUGCAAGUCGAACGGAAAGGCCCUGCUUUUGUCGGGUUCUCGAGUGGCGAAGGUGUGAGUAACACGUGAGUAACCUUGCCUUGGCGUUGGGAUAACUUCAGGAAACUGGUGCUAAUACCUGAUAGGAGCUCGUGCUGCAGGGUGGUGGUUGGAAAGUUUCGUCUGUGGGGGGUGGAUGCCCGGCUUAUCAGCUUGUUGGUUGGGUAGUUGCUUAUCAAGGCUUUGGAGGAUCGCCGGCAUGAGAGGGUGGCCGCGCACAUUGCGCCUGCGAUACGGACCAGACGCGUACGGGAGGCAGCAGUGGGGAAUAUUACCCAAUGAGCGGACGCGUGAUGAAGAAACGCUGCGUGUGGGAUGAAGGUCUUCGGGUUGUAAACCGCUUUCGCCUGUGACGAAGCGUGAGUGACGGUACCGGGUAAAGAAGCACCGGCUAACUACGUG
rnacentral:rRNA from 1 species